UUGUCCAUAUUGGUUUCUGCAUAUUCUUGAUUUUUCUCCUGGUCUUCCCUUCCCUGAUCAAAUGGAAGCUGACUGUUUAACUGCAUCACUGUAUCACUUUUCUUGUCUCAGGUUGAGAAAUUGAUGAACAAUCUGCGUCAGUAUGAUGUACCACUGCAAAGGUACAUAGCUAUGAUGGAUCUUCAGGUAUUAGCACAAAUGAUUUUGAGAAUGCUCAGUUUCUGCUCUCUGUUAAGUUAUACUAAGUUGAGCACGAUGACUGAUUCAUAUUUGGAAUCUGAUUACAUUAAUGCUCUCUGUUACGUUAUACUAAGUUGAGCACAAUGACAGAAUAAUAUUUGGAGUCUGAUUACAUCUGGGACUUCCCAGAGAAAUAGAUCUUAGUUGGAUCAAGUCCUUCUACAUCUUUAUGCCCAACUUUAUUGGCAUCGUGAUACACAAAUUCUUGUUGUAUGCAUCUUGUUGC
rnacentral:lncRNA from 1 species